rnacentral:rRNA from 1 species
GUUAAGUUAGUGGCGGACGGGUGAGUAACGCGUGGGUAACUGCCGUAUACCGGGGAUAACACCUGGAAACAGGUGCUAAUACCGCAUAAGCGCACGGGACCGCAUGGUCCAGUGUGAAAAACCGAGGUGGUAUGCGAUGGACCCGCGUCUGAUUAGCCAGUUGGCAGGGUAACGGCCUACCAAAGCGACGAUCAGUAGCCGGCCUGAGAGGGUGGACGGCCACAUUGGGACUGAGACACGGCCCAAACUCCUACGGGAGGCAGCAG